AGUGGAUGCGCGCGCAGCCAUGGCCAGCGCAAUCAUUCUGCAGAUGUGUAUAAUUCAAUCUCUGUCUGUAUGAAGGUUGUACUGUGUUUGUUUCCCGAAGUCUGUACAAUUCCCAGGCUAAUAACAGCUUUGCCUGUGCGACUGAGUCAUUUGCCCUCCUUUAUUGAAAUGAGUGAAGCUGUGCCGUGACUGGCUGAAGACCAACCACACAACUGAUAUGAAAAAACAAGUUGGCUUCUUUUUCUCCAGCCUACGCUGUAUGCAGGAAGUGAACUUACUGAUGACACAUAGAGACUCUCUUCCCGUGACGAGGUGUCUGAGCGCAGAUCUCGCCAUGCUGGGAGGCUUCACUUACUUAAGAAGGUUCAACCAUGUACCCCCGUACCAGGAAACUUAAUACUCGUAUGUUGCCCGUAGACGCUGUAUGCAGGAAGUGAACUUACUGAUGACACAUAGAGACUCUCUUCCCGUGACGAGGUGUCUGAGCGCAGAUCUCGCCAUGCUGGGAGGCUUCACUUACUUAAGAAGGUUCAACCAUGUACCCCCGUACCAGGAAACUUAAUACUCGUAUGUUGCCCGUAGACGCUGUAUGCAGGAAGUGAACUUACUGAUGACACAUAGAGACUCUCUUCCCGUGACGAGGUGUCUGAGCGCAGAUCUCGCCAUGCUGGGAGGCUUCACUUACUUAAGAAGGUUCAACCAUGUACCCCCGUACCAGGAAACUUAAUACUCGUAUGUUGCCCGUAGACGCUGUAUGCAGGAAGUGAACUUACUGAUGACACAUAGAGACUCUCUUCCCGUGACGAGGUGUCUGAGCGCAGAUCUCGCCAUGCUGGGAGGCUUCACUUACUUAAGAAGGUUCAACCAUGUACCCCCGUACCAGGAAACUUAAUACUCGUAUGUUGCCCGUAGACGCUGUAUGCAGGAAGUGAACUUACUGAUGACACAUAGAGGCUCUCUUCCCGUGACGAGGUGUCUGAGCGCAGAUCUCGCCAUGCUGGGAGGCUUCACUUACUUAAGAAGGUUCAACCAUGUACCCCCGUACCAGGAAACUUAAUACUCGUAUGUUGCCC